rnacentral:rRNA from 1 species
CGUUUCCUACGGGGGGCAGCAGUAGGGAAUUUUCGUCAAUGGGCGCAAGCCUGAACGAGCAAUGCCGCGUGAACGAGGAAGGUCUUCGGAUCGUAAAGUUCUGUUGACGGGGAAAAAAGACCGGGAAAGGAAAUGAUCCCGGAGGAGAUAUUACCCGUCGAGGAAGUCAGGGCUAACUACGUGCCAGCAGCCGCGGUAAUACGCAGGUGGCGGGCGUUAUCCGGAAUGAUUGGGCGUAAAGGGUGCGUAGGCGG